rnacentral:rRNA from 1 species
UACGGAGGAUGCAAGCGUUAUCCGGAUUUAUUGGGUUUAAAGGGUGCGUAGGUGGGCUGUCAAGUCCGUGGUGAAAAGUCCGUGCUCAACGCGGAUCGUGCCAUGGAAACUGGCGGCCUUGAAUAGGGGUGCCGUUGGCGGAAUGUGAAGUGUAGCGGUGAAAUGCAUAGAUAUUACACAGAACACCGAUUGCGAAAGCAGCUGACGAACCCCCGAUUGACACUGAGGCACGAAAGUGCGGGGAUCGAACAGGAUUAGAUACCCUGGUAGUCCGCACAGUAAACGAUGACAACUGGCUGUCGGCG